rnacentral:rRNA from 1 species
CCUACGGGAGGCAGCAGUAAGGGAUAUUGGUCAAUGGGGGAAACCCUGAACCAGCAACGCCGCGUGAGGGAAGACGGUUUUCGGAUUGUAAACCUCUGUCCUCUGUGAAGAUGAUGACGGUAGCAGAGGAGGAAGCUCCGGCUAACUCCGUGCCAGCCGCCGCGGUAAUACGUAGGGAGCGAGCGUUGUCCGGAUUUACUGGGUGUAAAGGGUGCGUAGGCGGCUUGGCAAGUCAGUAGUGAAAUCCAUGGGCUUAACCCAUGAACUGCUAUUGAAACUGUCGUGCUUGAGGGAGGUCGAGGGAGGCGGAAUCCCCGGGGUAGCGGUGAAAGGCGGAGAGAUCGGGAGGAACACAGGUGGCGAAGGCGGCCUGCUGGGCUUGAACUGACGCUGAGGCACGAAAGCGUGGGUAGCAAACAGGAUUAGAUACCCUAGUAGUC